AAGCAUCUAAGCGGGAAGCCUGCUUCGAGAUGAGAUAUCCGUGCACCUUUUGGUGUGGGAGGCCCCCAGUAGAUGACUGGGUUGAUAGGCCAGAUGUGGAAGCACAGCAAUGUGUGGAGCUGACUGGUACUAAUGGCCGAUGACUUACUUCA
rnacentral:rRNA from 1 species